GUGACCUCUGAGCCCUGGCUGCCUGUGUGUCAAGGUGCCUGGGGGCUAUGGGGUAUGAUGUGCGAUGGACUGAAGGAGAGGGAAGCCUCUGCACAGCACAGAUGAACCAUAGACCGACUGCACGUGAUCCCAGACCUACAGAACUGCACAGAGUGACUCUGGACUAAAGGCUGGUUCUUGGAAACACCUCCGGAUGUCGGCAGGCAGCUGGAUGUGCUGAAUGCCUGGAGGAAGUGGAGAAUCAUAGACCUGAGCUGUUGGAGGAACUGAACAAGAGCUCAGAGUUCCUGGGGUCCAGCCUACACCCGUCCUUUCAGGCAUGACAGCCUGAUUUGCAAACAACAGCCUCUUCAACUUGUUCCCAGAACUGCUCGUUAACUCUGGAGAGGAACCCCACCCUCGAGAACCUCAAGAGCCGCAAGUCCAAGACGCUGCUUGCCAAACGCAGUAUCCGGGUUAUGCAGCUUCCCAGGUUAUAUUUAGAAAACUAUUUGCAGGCAGAACUCACCAGGGAUAAGCCCACAGGCCAGUGAGGAGUGGGAGAGAGAGAAGUGAAUUGCCUGUUUUUUUGUUUUACA